rnacentral:rRNA from 1 species
CGAACCGGGGGAACUGAAACAUCUAAGUACCCCGAGGAAAAGAAAUCAACCGAGAUUCCCCCAGUAGCGGCGAGCGAACGGGGAGCAGCCCAGAGCCUGAAUCAGUAUGUGUGUUAGUGGAAGCGUCUGGAAAGGCGCGCGAUACAGGGUGACAGCCCCGUACACAAAAAUGCACAUGCUGUGAGCUCGAUGAGUAGGGCGGGACACGUGGUAUCCUGUCUGAAUAUGGGGGGACCAUCCUCCAAGGCUAAAUACUCCUGACUGACCGAUAGUGAACCAGUACCGUGAGGGAAAGGCGAAAAGAACCCCGGCGAGGGGAGUGAAAAAGAACCUGAAACCGUGUACGUACAAGCAGUGGGAGCACGCUUAGGCGUGUGACUGCGUACCUUUUGUAUAAUGGGUCAGCGACUUAUAUUCUGUAGCAAGGUUAACCGAAUAGGGGAGCCGAAGGGAAACCGAGUCUUAACUGGGCGUUAAGUUGCAGGGUAUAGACCCGAAACCCGGUGAUCUAGCCAUGGGCAGGUUGAAGGUUGGGUAACACUAACUGGAGGACCGAACCGACUAAUGUUGAAAAAUUAGCGGAUGACUUGUGGCUGGGGGUGAAAGGCCAAUCAAACCGGGAGAUAGCUGGUUCUCCCCGAAAGCUAUUUAGGUAGCGCCUCGUGAAUUCAUCUCCGGGGGUAGAGCACUGUUUCGGCAAGGGGGUCAUCCCGACUUACCAACCCGAUGCAAACUGCGAAUACCGGAGAAUGUUAUCACGGGAGACACACGGCGGGUGCUAACGUCCGUCGUGAAGAGGGAAACAACCCAGACCGCCAGCUAAGGUCCCAAAGUCAUGGUUAAGUGGGAAACGAUGUGGGAAGGCCCAGACAGCCAGGAUGUUGGCUUAGAAGCAGCCAUCAUUUAAAGAAAGCGUAAUAGCUCACUGGUCGAGUCGGCCUGCGCGGAAGAUGUAACGGGGCUAAACCAUGCACCGAAGCUGCGGCAGCGACGCUGAUGCGUUGUUGGGUAGGGGAGCGUUCUGUAAGCCUGCGAAGGUGUGCUGUGAGGCAUGCUGGAGGUAUCAGAAGUGCGAAUGC